rnacentral:lncRNA from 1 species
AUGCAAAGUGAGGCAUCCCACGAUGUGCCAGCCUUACCUUGCUUUGGCACUUGGUGUGGCAGGAGAGCUUGCAGCCUGCGAGAGGGGAGAAGGGAUCAGUGGGGACAUGGCCAUGGGGCUGCUCACAGGGACUGGACAGGGUGGCACCCAUGGGGGGACACAAGCAGCAACGGUACUGGGCACAGAGCACAGAGAUGCACACUGCGGGUGCACAGAUGCACACACCUUGCACAUGUGCACGCACACAGCCAGAUGCAUGAACACCACAUGCGUGACCCAUCCACUCACAGUGACAGUGUGCCAAAGGCACUGUGCCUCUGCUCCCCACAGUGCUCAGAGAUUAAUAGCAUAAAUGCAUGCAAACACAGCUUGCGAUCUCUUGCACAUGCACACGUGUGCACACAGCUGUGCGCAGCUGUUCACAUGCACAGUUGGGCUGUAUGGGAUGCUGACCCACCAGCAAUGCCAGGCGCUUCCCAGCGUGCCACCCCAAAGGGACAUGAGGGUCCCUGUGCAGCAUGCCCCAUGGCCACACUGCCCCCUGCCCCCCCGAGGCCUCGUCCCCCCCGGGAUCAUUUCCUGCAGUGCAGGGAACACAGGAAGCCGCAUUGUUCCCGCGACCUGGAACGUUUCCUCCCACCACCCCUCGCACGGGGCUCAGCACCGCCACACACGUGCGGGGGGACACGUCACCGCGUGUGCUACCGGGGCCUCGAGGGGGACGGGGCCACGAGCACCAGCAGGGGUGUGAGCAUGCACACACGCGAUGCUGGGACAACGCUCACUGCACGCUCGGCGCACUCACAACCGCAUGCAGAAGCGUGCAAAAGCAUCGCUGCAUCCUCUCGCUCACGCUCACGUCCCGCCCCCUCACCUCGGCAGGUGCUGCCCUGGCGCGUGAUGGCCUGCCGGCAGAUCCCACACGCCUUCACCUUCUUGAAGCUCGUCAUCUUGAAGGCGUGCGCCGGGGGGGACUCCAGGUCCUGGGGCUGCGGGACACGGGGACAAAUCAGCACCCCUAUCCUUUGCCCCGCCCCAUGCCGAGCUCUGCCCUGCUCGGUUUCCCUCUAG